CGCAAAAUCAGCACCGGUGGAAACCCUACCCAAAAUAUCCUCCAAUUUUCGCCGUCAUUCACGGAAAGGAAGGAGAUAGCGGCUGCGUCGGCGCCGAAUUCCUUGCCGGCGUAACCGCGCCGGCAAUUCGCGAUGCUCGACGGCGAUGUCGCGUCCGGCGUCGAUCUAUCCCGCUGUGCUCGUUGAGGAUGUGGUGCCGCCGUCCUUGAAGGCGGACGUCCUGGCCAUGGUGAUGGGGGCUGCGUGGGCCGUCGCCAUUGAUGGCAGACUACGCGCGCUACGGUGACGGCGGGCCGGGAGACGGCGUCCGUGCGGAAGACGGAGGCUGAGCGGUUUAUGUGUGCUGGAGUUUGCUCCGGCGGCGUGGAGAGGAGCUGCAGCCGGCGCAUCGCAAAGGGAUGGAGGCCCCCUUCUCCCAGCCAGUCACCGAUUAUAUGUGGUUUGGUCGAUGAGGAUGGCGUGAAAGAUGACUGCUCCACUGCGGGUAUGUUUGAUGCGAGCAUACAAAACCUUUGCCGUUGCGUCCCAACCUCUAGUGUAUAUAUGAAUGGAUAAAAUGUUGCCUGGCGAUCGGCGGUGGAGGGCCAACGGGAGCGGGAACGAAGUUCACAGGCGGUGGUGCCAUGACCCUCUGUGAGCCAGGACGGCCCAUCCUGGGUCCCAUCGGCAUGAGUGCUAAGACCCGAUUUCUCUUCUAACACGACUCAUGGUUCAGAACGCAAGGACGUAUAUUGACUGAUCUGACUAUUUUCAUUUUCAUUGGCGCCAAGUAAACCAUGGUGAUAGGAAAAAGGAAGUGAUUGAAAGAAGGAGAUUGAUCAACGUUUGAUUGAAAGAAGGAAGGAGAUUUAUCACCGUCAUGAAUGAAUUGAUUGCCAUGCAUGAAUUGAUUGUUGAUUGAUUCCGCUUGGUUGCCUUAUGUGAAUUAUUUCUUUACCAAAGAUAGAGUCGAUUGGAGGGAGAAAAGAAAAUCGGCAGAGGGAGAAAAUCGGUGGGGAGAAAACCGGUGUCGGGAGAAAAAAAUCGCUAGAGGGGAGGGGGAUCGUAUGAAGGGGUUGAACGAAGAGGGGAAACGGAACCUUACGUUUCUUUUAGAUAAAAUAUAUAGUAGAGAAGAGAUAGAGAUUUCUCUAUGGAACGCGUGUGCUGCAGACCCGCGGCGCUGCUGUUCCAUUGGUCUUCUCUGCAACUACGCAGGCGCGCGGCCAACAAUUACGAAGCGACAGGCUAAGCCGCCUCUUAUCCGAACCUUCUUCGCCCAAUGGUGAAGCGACGCCGAUGCGGUGGUCACCUUCGAACGAGAUUUCGGCCGAUCAGAAGCAGAUGCAGCGGCCGCGGAAAACGCCGCCGGGAUAAACGCCAAGGCGGAGUCGGCCGCGUGCUUCCCAUUCGCAUGCCUGUAGUGGGUUGUGGGCGCAAAAGAGAACUGAACGUCGUACGUCCCUGUUAAUCAUGAUUGAUUCUUGCAGAGACGGCAGGCGCGCACGGAUUUAGGCGGCAGAAUAUUCACACGGCCUGAUUAAGUACACAGACAAAGCGACAAGCUAAUCAUCAUCUUAUCCGGAAGCUUUUCGGCCGCCGAUGAAGCGACGCCGACCGCCGAAGCAGUUCACUGUUAAGCUUAUCGAUCAAGGAAGCAGAGGCCACGACAGCGGCGGCGGCGGUAGACGGCGCCGGGUAGACGCCGGGCGCAGCCGACCUCGUGGCUCCCGUUCACAUACCUGUAGUCGUAGGGGGGCGGACGGCUCAUGAAACUACGUCACAGUUCAUCUCGUGGGGAAAAGGUCACAGGUCAAAAUCGUGGUAGCGACAGACGCAAAACACAGAGCGAGGAAAGGCUAAAGACGGCAAAAGGACAAUAACCAAGAAGUUAUUAGAUUAAGCAGCGGGGUACUUACACGAUCUAGCUAAGUACAGUGGUCUUUUAGGUUAUUUCUCGUUAGGCGUUAUGCUAGUACUGGGAUACUACGGACUCCAAAAGCUAUUGGUUACUCAGUACAAUCGAUGGAAGAUGGUAGCUCUGACUAUAUUCAAUCGGUUUGGAUGUCGGUCGCAUAACAUGAUAGGUGUUUAGGGCCUUAGUCCUUUCUUUCAUACCGGUUGUGGCAUUGCGCUGUGCUUCUUUUGCGAGUUGUAAUACUUUUAAGAUUUUGUGACACGCUGGGACUUUUAAUAAAAUAGUUGCAUGCAUCGUUCAGAUGCAGAGGCCGGGGGCAAGCCUCCUUUUUCAAAAAAAAUAAGACGAAAGUAGUACUAUAUAAGAGGCAGAAAGGAAGAGAAAGAUUGUGGUGGCUCCAUGGGCACCAUUCCCAAGUCCAGAAUUGCUGGGGAGAUAGGAUGGGAAGCCGCAUUUCUCCAUGGGCAGCUUCUCACGUCCAAACCCAAGAAUUUCGGCAAAAACAGAACCCAGACAAACAAGAAUGCCAUGAAACACAUGUCCCAUGUUCGUCAUCCAAUGAUCUCGUCUGGCACCGUCAUAAACCUCAUCCGCUUCUGCAGCAAAAAGAACAAAAUGAUGUAAGACUUGAUUACACCGACACAUGCAUACAAUUUGCACUAUGGAUUUCUGGUGCCUAGGAAUAAAAUGUAGGAAUACCUUCUAGCUUUCCUUUUACUCUAACGCUUUGUGUCUACCUUUUAUUUAUUUGAAACUAUUUGUUCUAUAAUUGGAAUGGCAAAAAUUGACUCCAUCGUAAGUUUUGGCCACAUACUAAGGUUGUGUUUGGUUGAGCUUAUUUUUCCAACUUCUAUUUUCAAAAAGGUAGAAGCUAACCAAGGAAAUAAUUUUAACAUCGGCUUUUGUAAAAUCUACAGCUUUCACGUAGUGUAAAAUCUUGCAGCCAGCCUAUCUCAACUUCUUCAGAUUCUUAGCGAACCGUUUUCAGUUGUCCCCUAGAAGUUGCAUUACUAUUUACCAACCUCUGCCUCUCUCAAGUGAAAAACGAUUGGGUGAAUAUAGAAAGCUAUCAGCAAACCCACCAACCCAUUUCCUCCAAACAAACAGAGCAACCACCACUUCCCACCCAGAUGGCUAGGGUUCCUGCCCGACCGCUGCUGCUUGUGGCCCUUCGGCGUCGUGCACCCAGCCGCCCCUCCGCCUCCAUCCCUCACGUUGGUCUAGCCUCCGUCCCCAUCGAUCUGCUCGUCCUGGCGGGUAGUGAGGCCCUCCCGCGAGCAGUCGCUCCCGCCCAGCUGCCCCAUCACAGACGCUGAUGAGUAGAGCUACGGCGUGAGGAGACUACAAGGCAAAUGCAGGUGGUCACUAAAGCAUUUUUCAUUAUGAAUGGACACUGAAGACGUGAAGGAUUGCAUGGGUCUGAUAUUUUGGUGUUGCCGACAUAACCAAGAUGGUUGUCAUAUGAAUGUACAUUGGUUGCUAGUUAUUUCGUGAUCCUUUUAGUUUCGUUAUGUCUAUAGCUUAUGAUGAAAUAUUAGGCGGUGAUAUGUCGAUCGCGUCAUCUCACUGGUCAUUUGGCUGGAGCCUGAAGAAUAUGUCAAAUGCAUAUUUUCCUUUCGUAUUUACUUUUCGUGUCAGCCUGAUCUCGGUAAUGAUCUAAUGAUUCUCUAAUAUGAUAUAGAGCGAUGUUAUCAAUUAUUCCAUUAUUAUGAGAAAAAGGAAAGAAAAAACAGAGGGAGUGAAAUAGGCGUUGUUGUUGCUUGAUGC